rnacentral:rRNA from 1 species
GCUUGUCUCAAAGAUUAAGCCAUGCAUGUCUAAGUAUAAACGACUUUAUACUGUGAAACUGCGAAUGGCUCAUUAUAUCAGUUAUAGUUCAUUUGAUGGUCCUUGCUACUUGGAUAACCGUAGUAAUUCUAGAGCUAAUACAUGCAUCAAGCCCCGACUGUUUGGAAGGGGUGUAUAUAUUAGAUUGAAACCAAUGCGGGGCAACCCGGAGUGUGGUGAUUCAUAAUAACUCCUCGAAUCGCAUGGCCUUGCGCCGGCGAUGUUUCAUUCAAAUUUCUGCCCUAUCAAUUUGAUGGUAGGAUAGAGGCCUACCAUGGUGGUAACGGGUGACGGAGAAUUAGGGUUCGAUUCCGGAGAGGGAGCCUGAGAAACGGCUACCACAUCCAAGGAAGGCAGCAGG